rnacentral:rRNA from 1 species
CUUGAUUUAUUAUAAGAGGUCCAGCCUGCCCAGUGACCAUGUUCAACGGCCGCGGUAUCCUAACCGUGCGAAGGUAGCGUAAUCACUUGUUCUUUAAAUGUGGACUAGUAUGAACGGCAUCACGAAGGUUAUACUGUCUCCUUUUUCUAAUCAGUGAAACUAAUCUCCCCGUGAAGAAGCGUGGAUAAAAUUAUAAGACGAGAAGACCCUAUGGAGCUUUAAACAACACAGCACUUACCUGAGAACCUUGAAUGUUUCUGUAACACUAACUCUUAGAGUAAGAUGACUGCAAGUUUUUGGUUGGGGUGACCACGGAGUAUAUCAUAACCUCCAUGUUGAAAGAAUUUUUCUAAGCCAAGAACAACCUAUCUAAGCAUUAAUAAAUUAACAUCUAUUGACCCAAUAAAUUUGACCAACGAAC